rnacentral:rRNA from 1 species
CGGGAUAAUAUAUUUGAGAGGCAUCUCUUGAAUAUCAAAGGUGAGCCAGUACAGGAUGGACCCGCGUCUGAUUAGCUAGUUGGUAAGGUAACGGCUUACCAAGGCGACGAUCAGUAGCCGACCUGAGAGGGGGAUCGGCCACAUUGGAACUGAGACACGGUCCAAACUCCUACGGGAGGCAGCAGUGGGGAAUAUUGCACAAUGGGCGAAAGCCUGAUGCAGCAACGCCGCGUGAGUGAUGAAGGCCUUCGGGUCGUAAAACUCUGUCCUCAAGGAAGAUAAUGACGGUACUUGAGGAGGAAGCCCCGGCUAACUACGUGCCAGCAGCCGCGGUAAUACGUAGGGGGCUAGCGUUAUCCGGAUUUACUGGGCGUAAAGGGUGCGUAGGCGGUCUUUCAAGUCAGGAGUGAAAGGCUACGGCUCAACCGUAGUAAGCUCUUGAAACUGGGAGACUUGAGUGCAGGAGAGGAGAGUGGAAUUCCUAGUGUAGCGGUGAAAUGCGUAGAUAUUAGGAGGAACACCAGUUGCGAAGGCGGCUCUCUGGACUGUAACUGACGCUGAGGCACGAAAGCGUGG